UACGUAGGGUGCGAGCGUUAAUCGGAAUUACUGGGCGUAAAGCGUGCGCAGGCGGUUCGUCGUGUCUGAUGUGAAAGCCCCGGGCUCAACCUGGGAAUGGCAUUGGAAACUGGCGGACUAGAGUGUGGCAGAGGGGGGUGGAAUUCCGCGUGUAGCAGUGAAAUGCGUAGAGAUGCGGAGGAACACCGAUGGCGAAGGCAGCCCCCUGGGCUAACACCUAACGCUCAGGCACGAAAGCGUGGGGAGCAAACAGGGA
rnacentral:rRNA from 1 species